AGUUUAACCACCUUUCCAUGGGGUAGAAAUGCUAAAUAGGUGCCACAUUCUCUCUGAUUGCCAGUCAGUGAACUUUCUAUCCUUCAGUUCUAACUAUCUCUAAAGGAUAGGGCCAGUUGUCUACACUUGUGUGUAUAUGCAAAUCUUUCUCAUCAAAAUUAGCUGAGUCUCUACCCACUGAUUGUCUCAUUUUGAAUAUGGUAUCUGUGUCUUUUCAGUGGAUACUAGUGAUGUGAUUUUGGCAUAAUGGAGUUGUUUCCCAACAGAAGCAGAAAUAUUUAUGCUAAAGCACUAUAAUUAUUAGGUUUUAUGGCUAGAUCUGGGUAUGGUGUGAGAAUAGAUAAGCUAGAUCGAUAGAUUGACAUGUAUAAAUGUAUGUAUAUAUAGACAUCACAUAACAUGUAUGUAUAUAUAUAUAAACUUUACACAUAAACACAUAUAUAUCUGUAUAUAAUCUACUGAGCAGCUGUACGCUUACUAUUUUUCUAGAGACCCCAGAAGUUCUCCCCAGACAUCAGACCCAGGAUUUCUAGGUCAUACACAGUCCUCUCCUGAUCAGCACUGUGACCUACAAUUUGAGCUUCAAGGAAGAACUACUGUCAUCUAUACUUUCCCCCAAGGAAUAAUGGACUUGUCCAGUUCCUUUCAUCUGAAUCAGCCUUCUUGCAUUUAUCAACCAGGUAAGUUUAUUUUAAAUUUUUCCAGCUCAUUCUAAACUUUGUGGUUUAUAUAUUUAGAAUUCU
rnacentral:lncRNA from 1 species